UACGUCGGGUGCAAGCGUUGUCCGGAAUUAUUGGGCGUAAAGAGCUCGUAGGCGGUCUGUCCCGUCGGCUGUGAAAACCUGGGGCUCAACCCCGGGCCUGCAUCCGAUACGGGCAGACUAGAAUUCGGUAGGGGAGACUGGAAUUCCUGGUGUAGCGGUGGAAUGCGCAGAUAUCAGGAGGAACACCAAUAGCGAAGGCAGCGCGCUGGGACGUUACUGACACUGAGGCGCGAAAGCGUGGGGAGCGAACAGG
rnacentral:rRNA from 1 species